rnacentral:tRNA from 1 species
GGCGGUGUAGCUCAGCGGAAGAGCAAAGGUCUCAUAAACCUUGGGUCGGAAGUUCGAAUCUUCCCACCGCAACCA